rnacentral:ncRNA from 1 species
UACCUUCCGCGCGUAGCUCGCGCCCGGGAUGCCCACGAGGGCCCAGGGAAGGCGGUCAGAAGCCGCCGCGACCCCGUCACUGUGA